rnacentral:rRNA from 1 species
GACAGAGGUGCCAAGCGUUAGGCGGAAUCACUGGGCUUAAAGCGUGUGUAGGCGGCCCGUUAAGUGUCUUGUGAAAUCCCCCGGCUCAACCGGGGAACUGCUGGGCAUACUGGCGGGCUUGGGUCGCUCAGGGGCAGACGGAACAGGCGGUGGGAGCGGUGAAAUGACGUAGAUAUCGCCUGGAACGCCGAAGGUGAAAACAGUCUGCUGGGGGCGUACCG